UCUGAAUUUUAAUUCCUCUAUCUCAGCUACUCACUGAUCGAUCAUACAUGCACCCAUCGAGAUCUUAAUGCCAUCAUUUAUAAAGAAAUAGGAGCUAUGAUAUCUCUAACGAACGAAAUCCGCACCAUACAAUCUCUAACCUGAUUCGUCCGCGUCAUCUACAAAUAAGAGCCCUCCGAUGAAGCCUUGGUAGGAACUCAACCCUCAGUUCAUAGGUUGCCCCACCAUUCCUUCUAGAUAGAUCAGGGGAUUCAGGAACUCAAGUCCAGCGAAUCCUCGCGAGAAGGCCUGAAGCCCCGGACUUCACCUUUCUGAUUAAAAAAAAAACCUUCACCUUUAUCGCCCUACGUCUCUACAUCGCUCCCAGUGAAAAACAAUUACCCUAACCUGUUCAUCUCCCGAUCAUCCGCCGGGCAACGCUCCUGCGCCGCUGCAACGAAAGGUCAAGAAAUAAUCCCCUUGUCGCCAGCCUUUGCCCCCAUGUGAACUAAUUUGUAUAUCCAAAGCAUAUGAAUAUUCCAGUACUUCACUACUGCUGGCACUAUAAACUGCAUUAUCUCACAGGGCGCAUCUGGAUGAUCAAACACAGGUCCUCAAACCAGUGGUGCUGCUUAAGAGCCUGGAUAAGUAAAGCGACCCGAAAAGAGCUCAUAUAAAUGAUUCCAUGCGGAUCAGGCCAAUCAAGUUUGAUCUUACACUCAUUAGCUAUCUUAAUGUACUAGAACUUACAAUAUAUUUUUUAAUCGUUAUGCCCUUUUGUAGACCUGUAGAACUUGAGGCUUUGUGAACCUGAACAGUCUGUGCCCUUUUGUUAAGUCUAAACAUGUGGACAUGGAAUGUAUUUUUAUGACAUUUGAAUAGAAUGUUGCCUGUUAGAAAUGGAGUA